GUCCACGCCCUAAACGAUGUCAACUGGUUGUUGGACGGCUUGCUGUUCAGUAACGAAGCUAACGCGUGAAGUUGACCGCCUGGGAGUACGGCCGCAAGGUUGAAACUCAAAGGAAUUGACGGGACCCGCACAAGCGGUGGAUGAUGUGGUUUAAUUCGAUGCAACGCGAAAACCUUACCUACCCUUGACAUGUCAAGAAUUUUGCAGAGAUGUGGAAGUGCUCGAAAGAGAACUUGAACACAGGUGCUGCAUGGCCGUCGU
rnacentral:rRNA from 1 species